GAAAGAGGAGACUUUGUUGCUUACGAAAAUCGAACCAGAUAUCAAAUAUUUAGUCUUGCAGCAUCAACCUCAAGGAUCUCAUUAAUCACUAGUAAAGGUAAUUUCAAUUUACUUUAUUGUUUUCGCAUUAAACUUUAUAAAGUUAAAAACAUUAUAAACAUGCAUUAAGUAGAAAUAAAAAGAUAAAUGUACGUACAUUGAUUUUUUUAAAAACACCCUCCUUUCUAAAAAAUAUUCUGCACUUGCCCGAAAACUGGUGGGUGGUAAGGACAUUUUUUCAACCAAAAAGAUGCAUUAGUGGGCGGUAGGUAGAAAAAGGUUGACUACCACUGGGCUAGACAGACAUCAUUAAAUUCACAUUUCUUUAAUUUAUAUGCUUUGCAUACAUUUUAUACUGCCAUGUAGUGUCAAUGCACUAUUGAAUAAAAAAUUGAAAAUCACCUAUACCAUGUUAUAACCUUUUUUUUUCAAUCCAGUUCAUUCCUGGCAUAUCUAUGUCGCACACUGGUUUUGGGAGGACAAACAGAAAUAUUGUUUGUAUUUUUCUACCUUACACAUGUACAAUGAGAGAAACACAUUAUGAAGCUCUCAAUUAACCGUACAGCUGUAAAAAAGUUACAAAUAAAUUGACAGACAAAGAACAUUGCUUCAAUUGAAAUGUUCUGAGGGCAAGCCUUGCGUGUUAGGGGUUACAGUGUAAAGUGGUAAUUGGUGCUCCAAUUUUGUAACUCUGAGAUCAGUGAUACCAAUUAUUUUAACAUGAUAUCGUCUCAAAAAGUAAACUUUGGAAAUAUUAGAUCAUUAUAAGCCUCAGUGUAGCUGAGCCUUCUUUUCAGAAAACAUGUUGUAAAAUGCUUUAGGCACACCUACCAUGGAACCCUUACCAUCACAGUCUGCCUUACCCUGCAUUUUGCUUCUGACCUUCCACAUCUGAUCAAAAGCUUGUAUCACAUCUGCUUCGAAUUUCUUCAUGACUGAUUUUAUAGAUGCCAUUAAUCAUCCACUUGAGGUUUAUCCACUUCCCUCUCCCUAUUAUCUCUCUUUAUCUUUCCUACUCCUUUCAGUUACCUCUCGUUAUUACACGUUUUUUUUUUUUCUUCAUUUUUUUUUUCUUUCUUUUUUUCUUUCUGGUCUGUAUUACAAGUGCCACCUGAAAUCGUUAGCCGUUAAUAAGAUCAGCAACAAUAUAGCUUCUAUUACAGAACUGACGCCAAAAGAAAUGUCAUUAUAGCUGCCUUGGUAAAACAAUACAUACAUACUAUAUACUUCAUGCAUAUGUUUGUUGAUCCUUAUAUUAAAGGCGAGGUCACUUCAUCUUUCCACAAUAAGGACAAGUUUAAUUUAAUGGAUCACAGCUGAAAUUAGAACAUAUUAGGAAACUUUAGUGCACGUUAAUCUUUAGGACCACAUUGCUAUUCGUUGGUGGGUUAGAGGAACACAAGCAACAUUUUAUCAUUUUGUACUGAGUGACUCAUGGAAGCAAUUCUGGGGUUCUCCUUUCCAUCCCAUAGACACAGUGACUCAUAUGGGUAUAUGUGGAGGGGGCCUGUUCCUUUUUUCAUGGAUAGAUUGACUCAGGGGAGAUGUGAUUUAGUCACACUCCAUAGCAAAAGGAUGCUGGGACAGUUCAACACAUCACGUCUCAAGUUUAAAAUUAAUUUCACCAUCUGCUCGAAACUUUCAUUCUCUCAUCUCAUGCUGUCCACCACAAGAAAGAACAGUCAUGCACACCCACUGUUUUAUUUCAAGUGUACGUAGAGAUGUUCAAAUAUGUUCUGCAGUGUGUAUGCCUAAAAUCAUUGCUGGCUGCUCUUUGCAUUCCGCAUUUCUCUUCUCCUCUCAAGCCCUGUACUCCUCCAAAUAUAUAUAUGACUUGAAAUAUCCUGGCUGUUUCAAACUAUAUCUGUUCUUCCUUUUUCCUAAAGUAAAAGCCAUUUUCUCAUUAUUUUUCAGGAGUUUUAAAGCAGCUGAAAUCUUGGCUAAUCUCGUGAAGUCUACAGUAUCUGCUAGUUGAUUUACAGUAACCUGUAAAACAAAGUUCAUAUGUUCUCUCUCUUUGUCAUGAAUUUGACAUUUCAGUAAAGUGAUGUAAAUUCAAGCUGUGCAUUUGGGGCAAGCAUACAAUAAAUCCAGAUAUUUGCUAUGCUUGAUUUCUGGUGACAUUGAUUUAUUAAGCAGGAUAAUAUUUAAUGUUAAUUGGUCUCUAUGCGCACAUCUGCUGAGGGACCUCAUG